UAUGGUCACUGUGAUAAUAUUUCAAAUUAAGCGUUAAAAUUGCCAAUACGGAAGUAGUUGCAUAGUGUGCCUGUAUCUGUCUAACUAGAAAAACAUUCAACAAGCUUGAGAAAAUUUUGCUAAGUGCAAAAGUGCGAGUGCAUGUGCUCGUGCCACUGUUUUGGUUGGUUUGGUGCUUCCAUUGUCUUGUAAGUUCACAGGAAAAGUAAAGGGAUGGGUUGCAUAAGGGAAGUCAUCAAUAGUAAAUUGAAUGGUAUUGACUGAGUGAGCUACCAACUCACAGUCAUCAGCAAAAAGAAGCUCACUAAUGAAGAAAUCAGCCACAUGUGUCUGCAGACCGAACAACUUGCAUCAGUAAAAAACUGAAUAAAUAUAGCUCUGCCAAUGGCACAAAUUGAUUCCAUCUGCACAACAGAGACAAGAUGGAAAGGAGUAUGGAAACCAUUUAUGAUAUUAAAGAGAUCUUACCAUUUUCCACCUCUCUAACCAUCAUCUUAUUACAGAAGACUUAACUAGGUGAGAAAUAGAAUUUGCAGGGCUUUCACAGGUCUACAAAAGCUUCAAGAGUCCCUUGCAAUUUACAUUGUCAAAACCUUUAGUUAGGUCAACAGUCAGCCAGCAAAGCUGCAAUUUGACUUGGUACUAUUAGUAAGGCUCUAAAGGUCAGGUGUGUGGUGUUACUUUCUUACUAACUCCACACUAAAGUUUUGGGAAGACAGAUUAAACAAAACAGAAAUUGAGUUGCUCCGUUUAGGCACGCUAGGGUUUUCCUAGCAUCAGAGACCAGAAAAGACAAAAUAAUUGUCACAGUUUGCAUCAUGAUUAUUUGUAAUAGAUACUGUUGGUUUCUUUGAAUUGCUGUGAAAUUGACUCUUGCUUUCAGAUAAUGUGGAAAGACCAGCUGACCAUCCAAAAUUCAUGACAACGCUUGAAGACAGAGGUUUGAAGCAAUGUCUCCAUCUCUGAACAUGAGCAGAAGAAGAAAAUUGAAGCAGUUUUCCAAUCUAGUUACUGGAUCACUGGUGAGGGAAAAGCUGGUAAAACAGAUGAAAGCGUCGUGUGGACUGGACUUGAUCUGUGGACUACCUGUAGAACCCGCAGAACUCAUCAGCAUCCCCUCUACUGCUUAUAUUCUACUUCAUGUAAAGGUUGUUGCUAGUUCUGGAAGAAAAAAACAAGCUUGCAAACAGAAAACCAAUUUGCUUAAAGCUUACCUUACACUGAAAGUUGUGGGCACACGGAGCAGAGCUGGAAUAUUAUAUUUGAAUUCAUCUUAACACAGAGCGGGCAGAACAAUAAU
rnacentral:lncRNA from 1 species